rnacentral:rRNA from 1 species
GAUGAACGCUGGCGGCGUGCCUAAUACAUGCAAGUCGAGCGAACGGACGAGAAGCUUGCUUCUCUGAUGUUGGCGGCGGACGGGUGAGUAACACGUGGAUAACCUACCUAUAAGACUGGGAUAACUUCGGGAAACCGUAGCUAAUACCGGAUAAUAUUUUGAACCGCAUGGUUCAAAAGUGAAGGACGGUCUUGCUGUCACUUAUAGAUGGAUCCGCGCUGCAUUAGCUAGUUGGUAAGGUAACGGCUUACCAAGGCAACGAUGCAUAGCCGACCUGAGAGGGUGAUCGGCCACACUGGAACUGAGACACGGUCCAGACUCCUACGGGAGGCAGCAGUAGGGAAUCUUCCGCAAUGGGCGAAAGCCUGACGGAGCAACGCCGCGUGAGUGAUGAAGGUCUUCGGAUCGUAAAACUCUGUUAUUAGGGAAGAACAUAUGUGUAAGUAACUGUGCACAUCUUGACGGUACCUAAUCAGAAAGCCACGGCUAACUACGUG